rnacentral:rRNA from 1 species
CUUAACACAUGCAAGUCGAGCGGUAAGGCCCUUCGGGGUACACGAGCGGCGAACGGGUGAGUAACACGUGGGUGAUCUGCCUCGCACUCUGGGAUAAGCCUGGGAAACUGGGUCUAAUACCGGAUAUGACCACUAAUCGCAUGGUUGGUGGUGGAAAGAUUUAUCGGUGCGAGAUGGGCCCGCGGCCUAUCAGCUUGUUGGUGGGGUAAUGGCCUACCAAGGCGACGACGGGUAGCCGGCCUGAGAGGGCGACCGGCCACACUGGGACUGAGACACGGCCCAGACUCCUACGGGAGGCAGCAGUGGGGAAUAUUGCACAAUGGGCGGAAGCCUGAUGCAGCGACGCCGCGUGAGGGAUGACGGCCUUCGGGUUGUAAACCUCUUUCGACAGGGACGAAGCGCAAGUGACGGUACCUGUAGAAGAAGCACCGGCCAACUACGUGCCAGCAGCCGCGGUAAUACGUAGGGUGCGAGCGUUGUCCGGAAUUACUGGGCGUAAAGAGCUUGUAGGCGGUUCGUCGCGUCGAUCGUGAAAACGUGCAGCUCAACUGCACGCUUGCGGUCGAUACGGGCGGACUAGAGUACUGCAGGGGAGACUGGAAU